rnacentral:rRNA from 1 species
UACGUAGGUGGCGAGCGUUGUCCGGAUUUAUUGGGCGUAAAGAGCGUGUAGGCGGCCAGGUAGGUCUGCUGUGAAAACUCGAGGCUCAACCUCGAGACGUCGGCGGAAACCAUCUGGCUAGAGUCCGGAAGAGGAGAGUGGAAUUCCUGGUGUAGCGGUGAAAUGCGCAGAUAUCAGGAAGAACACCCGUGGCGAAGGCGGCUCUCUGGUACGUGACUGACGCUGAGACGCGAAAGCGUGGGGAGCGAACAGG